UAAUGAGUCAUUCUUGGGGCUGGGUGGGGAGAGGGCAACUGCUUUCAAUUAAAACCACGCCAGCCAGAGCACUAGUUG
ensembl:miRNA